ensembl:lncRNA
CUCCCAUUCUGCCUGGAGGAGUUUGAGGGCUCGCUGUCUCGUUCUUCUUUUUCCAGCACCUCCGGCUGUCUCUCGCCCACGAGUUCAAGGGGUCGAGGGUACUGCUGAGGUGACUCCGAACUGAAGGUCAGAUAGAGGGAGGAUAAGAAGAUGGAGGGCUGACCAGUGUGAGCGAAUUUAAAUGGAAAAUGGACAUUACGAUCAGAAGGCCUCGGUCAUGAGUGUCUUACCACCUCCCAUCCUGUGUCGGAUUACUUAUUUUGGAUUACUUUGUUUUUUGGUCGUUGUCUUCCAUGGAUUUGAGGGGUUCUUCACGUUUGGAUUACGGACUUGACCCUCUUCCAGACCGUUCUGUGAGAAAUAACCCAGGCAAAACAAUCCUUACAGCUAAGGUUGUGACCUCUGACCUCCCGCAGUCAGAUGACGGGAGACUCCGUUGCUGUAGGAACACUGUGCCUUCGUGUGCCUUCGUGUGCGUGCGGGCGUGUGCGUGCGGUUUGUGACGUGUGCUGUGGUGACAUGCUCAGAGAGACGUGAAAGGAGGUGACAUGAUGUAUGAAGUCCGCCGCGGCGGGGGAGACACUGAUGGAUGGA